rnacentral:rRNA from 1 species
GGUUACUGCUAUCGGUGUUCGCCUAAGCCAUGCGAGUCAUAUGUUCUUCGGAACACGGCGUACUGCUCAGUAACACGUGGAUAACCUGCCCUUGGGUCCGGCAUAACCCCGGGAAACUGGGAAUAAUUCCGGAUAACGCACAUAUGCUGGAAUGCUUUAUGCGUCAAAUGGAUUCGUCCGCCCAAGGAUGGGUCUGCGGCCUAUCAGGUAGUAGUGGGUGUAAUGUACCUACUAGCCUACGACGGGUACGGGUUGUGAGAGCAAGAGCCCGGAGAUGGAUUCUGAGACAUGAAUCCAGGCCCUACGGGGCGCAGCAGGCGCGAAAACUUUACAAUGCGGGAAACCGUGAUAAGGGGACACCGAGUGCCAGCAUCAUAUGCUGGCUGUCCGGGUGUGUAAAAUACACCUGUUAGCAAGGGCCGGGCAAGACCGGUGCCAGCCGCCGCGGUAACACCGGCGGCCCGAGUGGUGAUCGUGAUUAUUGGGUCUAAAGGGUUCGUAGCCGGUUUGGUCAGUCCUCCGGGAAAUCUGACAGCUUAACUGUUAGGCUUUCGGAGGAUACUGCCAGACUUGGAACCGGGAGAGGUAAGAGGUACUACAGGGGUAGGAGUGAAAUCUUGUAAUCCCUGUGGGACCACCUGUGGCGAAGGCGUCUUACCAGAACGGGUUCGACGGUGAGGGACGAAAGCUGGGGGCACGAACCGGAUUAGAUACCCGGGUAGUCCCAGCCGUAAACGAUGCUCGCUAGGUGUCAGGCAUGGCGCGACCGUGUCUGGUGCCGCAGGGAAGCCGUGAAGCGAGCCACCUGGGAAGUACGGCCGCAAGGCUGAAACUUAA